rnacentral:pre_miRNA from 1 species
CGUUUUUCGAAUCCGUGCUGAGAUUUCGUCAGACACCAACCCGUUAGGGCUGAUGAGACUUCCAAUAUAAGUGAAGUU